GAGGCGCUAGCUCAACUGGCAGAGCAUCGGCCUUUUAAGCCGGUGGUUCUGGGUUCGAUUCCCAGGCGCCUCA
rnacentral:tRNA from 1 species